rnacentral:rRNA from 1 species
AUUGAACGCUGGCGGCAUGCCUUACACAUGCAAGUCGAACGGUAACAGGUCUUCGGAUGCUGACGAGUGGCGAACGGGUGAGUAAUACAUCGGAACGUGCCCGAUCGUGGGGGAUAACGAGGCGAAAGCUUUGCUAAUACCGCAUACGAUCUACGGAUGAAAGCGGGGGAUCUUCGGACCUCGCGCGGACGGAGCGGCCGAUGGCAGAUUAGGUAGUUGGUGGGAUAAAAGCUUACCAAGCCGACGAUCUGUAGCUGGUCUGAGAGGAUGAUCAGCCACACUGGGACUGAGACACGGCCCAGACUCCUACGGGAGGCAGCAGUGGGGAAUUUUGGACAAUGGGCGAAAGCCUGAUCCAGCCAUGCCGCGUGCAGGAUGAAGGCCUUCGGGUUGUAAACUGCUUUUGUACGGAACGAAAAGCCUCUUUCUAAUAAAGAGGGGUCAUGACGGUACCGUAAGAGUAAGCACCGGCUAACUACGUG